rnacentral:tRNA from 1 species
GACAGUUUGGCCGAGUGGUCUAAGGCGCUGGCUUUAGGCGCCAGUCCGAAAGGGCGUGGGUUCGAACCUCACAGCUGUCA